GAAGAGCGAGCAGAAUAGGCUGAAUUAGAGCCAUCUGUUUAUGUAAGCAAGAGGCGUCUGGUGCUCUUUUCCUCUCCCUUCCUCUGAGGCAGAGUCCAGGGCAAAGAGUACCAUCGCAUACGAAAAGUGGUGCUUCCACAAAGAGGCAGUAGUAAGGUGAGAUGAGACCCUUGACUGCACAGAGCGGACAGUCCAGAGAGAUUCACCACAUGUAAGCAGGCAGCCCCCACACACAACGAGCAUAGCCAGGAUGAGAGGAAGACAGAUCUGUGGGAGCACCCAGGCCCGCUCCCUAAUCCAGACUUACAGGACGGAUGCUGCUCUGAGACCAAAGCUUAGCUAAAAUACAGAGUGGAGAGAGAAAAGAGAAGAGAAUAAAUGUUGACAUCAUUGGAAACUGCCUCAGGCUGCAGCUAACAUUCCUGGUCCUUCCAUCAUUUGUUUAACCUGUGGAAGUCGGGUUUCUAUCAUUUGCAAAGGUCCUUUUAAACCCGCAGCCCUCAUCAUCUUACGAUGGAGUUGUCACAGAAAAACCAAACAACACAUGAGGCACAUUAUUGGCUUCCACUUUAAUAUAACAAAACCCAGGGUAUAUUUUCACACUGCAGGCCAAGCCUCAACAAUAACUCCACCAGGAUUUAGAAAACUGGAUAGAUUCUAGAGAACUCUUUUUGAAAUGCUGAGUAAACCAAACAUCUCCCCUGCCCUUUGCAGUCUGAUGUGUAGAAAGCACCCAGUAAAUAUUUCCUACAUUAACGAGUUCACUUAAAAGUUGGGUCACAGUAAGAAAGUACAUAAUCAGAAAUGAAGGCAACUACGUACAGCAGAGGAGAAAAGAGAAUCUAGGUGAUAUAAAGCAAACGUCACUGUGCUGGCUGGGCAAACAUAUGGUAUGCUAAAUAUUAAGGAAAUUCAAAAGGAGCCUUCAUUGUCAUUAAUAAUGACCUUGUAUUCCAUAUGUGAGUAUUUACCUUGAUUUCUGUAUCAAAGCAAAACUUGCUUUACACUAUAAUUACAUUUGAAAUGAUAUAGCAUAAAUAUUAAAUGAUGGUAUAGACUGUGGCUGAUGUGGAGCUUUUUGUGGUAACACAGUAAGAUGCAAUGAGUAACACAUUACAGAACACAUGAUUGGAGAUCAUCACAGCCUCUUGCUCUGAAAGAAGAGUUCAAUGCUUUUUUCUGUAGCAUGUGUCACAGUGAUUCUAGAAAGUGAAGUUUUCAAAGCCACAUCUUAAUGAAGAGAUUCUCGUUAUUUACACAUCUGACCAAAGAAGGACAUGUGGGCAGAUACACGCAUCCAUCAUUAGCCAUCCUGUUGCUGCCUCACAGAUGCCCCGACCAUAUUGUUGUCAAAACAGCUUCAAUGUUGCUACAGUGCCCUAAUGAGGCAUAAAAUGUUCCUGUUUAUAAGACAGAUCUGUACACAUCUUCAUAAGGGUACAAGAGAAUAGUAUCUGAAAUAUGGCAUCUGCCAACUUUGCAGCAAUCUCUUAG